rnacentral:rRNA from 1 species
UACGGGGGGGGCAAGCGUUGUUCGGAAUUACUGGGCGUAAAGCGCACGUAGGUGGUUUGCUAAGCCAGCUGUGAAAUCCCCGGGCUCAACCUGGGCACUGCAGUUGGAACUGGCAAGCUAGAGUAGGGUAGAGGGGUGUGGAAUUCCAGGUGUAGCGGUGAAAUGCGUAGAUAUCUGGAGGAACAUCAGUGGCGAAGGCGACACCCUGGACUCAUACUGACACUGAGGUGCGAAAGCGUGGGGAGCAAACAGG